AAAGAAACAGUAUCAUUCAGAACACACACAUUGGAGAGAAGAGGAAAGAGAAGAGUUCCUGAUUGGCAGUUGACAAUAUAUGUUUGUGGCUGCUGGCUAUUUCUAGCUCAUGGAAUCCACCUGGGGAAUCAACCAAAACCAUCCUCUUGUGAAAUUUUGAAAUUUUGCUUUGGCUGGAGGUAUGGGGAGAGGAAGCUGGACGAAAAGUUGCUGAAAAUUUUUCAUGAUGACGAGCUCAAGAUGUAAUCCCUUCGUCUACUUUUAUCCUCACAGCAACUUUGUUAGGACAACCCAGGAACAAGAUGCUCAGCAGUAGAAUGGAAGGCUGGGAGAAGACCCACUGAAGAAAGGGGAUGACCAUGGGACAAAAUCUGUCCUUCGCUGAUGGUUUUUGUGGAAAGCUGAAGAGAAAAAGCACCUGGAACACAGCUGCCAGCAAAAGAGAGAGAAAGAAUGCAAGGCUACUUCCAGAUGCUGCCAGCCACAAAGCCAGAAGUGGACUCACUGCCAGCUCUGCUAUUCCUUUUCAACAGUACUGAGGAUGGAACCUGUUCAUUAUCAAUUACUUUCUCCCAUUUCAUCCUGUGCCUUUCCUCUGAGCCUGCUAUCUGCCAACCCAUUGUUCAGAUCUUGCUGUCUUAAACAAGAGUAAAACAAGUUAAGCUGCUUCAGCAUUGCAUUUCCAACUGUGGUGAGUCAGCUGUCUCAAUAGACACUAAGCUGCUGUUUGUUACUGUCAGUCUAUAAGACAAACAGUUCUCUUCCAUCCAUGUGACAGCUGGUCAUAAUUCACGUACAAUCGCGAAACAUACUCAGAAUUUCAAAAUCUUCCCAUGGAGGUGACUUGAUUGGACUUUGGGACUUACAGUUAGAUUAUGAGCUAAGUAUCUACUUGAGAGAUGGAGCCUUCCACGACUUUUCUACUU